UUUUAAAGAACGACGCUGGCGGCGUGCCUAACACAUGCAAGUCGAGCGCGAAAGUUCUUUCGGGAAUGAGUAGAGCGGCGGACGGGUGAGUAAUACGUGGGUAAUCUGCCCCCGAGCUCGGGAUAACACUACGAAAGUGGUGCUAAUACCGGAUAAGACCACAUGACCCAGGUCGUGCGGUAAAAGGUGGCUUUGUUUUCGGAUAAGGCUAUCACUUGAGGAUGAGCCCAUGGCUAUCAGCUUGUUGGUGAGGUAAAAGCUCACCAAGGCUAUGACGGGUAGCUGGUCUAAGAGGACGACCAGCCACACUGGGACUGAGACACGGCCCAGACUCCUACGGGAGGCAGCAGUGGGGAAUAUUGGGCAAUGGGCGAAAGCCUGACCCAGCGACGCCGCGUGGGCGAUGAAGGCCUUCGGGUUGUAAAGCCCUGUGAGGUGGGAAGAAACAUGCUGAUGUUAAUACCAUCAGCACUGACGGUACCACCGGAAGGAGCACCGGCUAACUCAGAG
rnacentral:rRNA from 1 species